rnacentral:lncRNA from 1 species
GGUAGUAGAGCGUGAAAGGGGGCAGCCAUUGACGCGCGCGGUUUGGGGUGGGAGUCAGGCAGGACGAGUCAGGAGAGGGCGGUGUAGGAAUGCAGUACCAAAGGAAUGCGUGGGGUGGGGUGGAGGGGGGUGGCUGCAGCUUGGCGUGGCGUGCGGUGCAGGCGGUGUGGAGGAGCGGGUGUGUGUAUGUAUGUAUGUGUGUGUGUAUGUGUGUUUAUGUGUGUGUUUUAUGAUCUGUCCCGCGGUGCCAUCGCAGCGACUGAGCCGUAGACGGCAUGAGCCCCCACGCGACGUUGCGGCAACGGGAGAUAAUCCCGCCGGCCCGUGAAGGCUGCUAUUGUUGCGUCCCAGCGAAACUAUGCGCGGCGUUGCAACGUCGCCGUGCCAGGUUAGAAAAGGACGCCUUCUCCAUGUUGGCAGAUGCAACAUUGCUUUCGUGCUUGCCCUAGAAAUCGCUAUUGCUGUUGCUAUUGCAAGCCUUGCAUGCUGGUGUUGCUUGCGCUGUAUACAUACGUGGGUGCGCGCCAUCCUGCUGAGUGUGGUACACAUGAUCUGUGCACCCCCCGCCCGCCCCCAAACUCCCACCCAAAUUCUUUGUCCCACGGUGCCAUCACAGGGGCGACCUCCACCGCUGUUGGCAGCCGCCCCCGUGCGACGUUGCGGCGGCAGGAGCCCCCGCCGGCCCCGAAAGGCUGCUACUGUUGCGUCCCAGCGAAACUAUGCGCGGCGUUGUAACGUCACCGUGCCAGGUUAGAAAAGGACGCCUUCCAUCUUGCUUCCGUAACAUGCCGCCUGCCUGUUCGCUACCCCUUUCCUUGUGCGUCUGCCGCCCUGCCGCCCCUCCCAUACACACACACACGCACACGCCCUCCCAUCCCCCAUCUCUCCCCCUUCUCCCCACCUGCUCCAGGUCCAGGUCCUGCAGCAGCAUGUCCUUGACGUCGCGCUGGUCCUUCUGCACCAGCACCUCCAGCACGUUGCCGCGCACAGCCUGCAGGGGGCGAGGGGGCCGCGGGGUCCCAUGCACACCAGUUUGGAGGGGUGGCGGGUUGGGGGAUGGCCGGGUGUGGCGUGUUGCGAUGUGACGUGAUGUGAUCGUGCGAUGUGUAGCGUUAUCUACAGCCAGCAGGUUAAUCGCCCGCGCUGUGCGUGCGGCGUGGCGGAGUUAGGGGGCGCACAACAACAUGUCCAGCUGCGACUGUGCGUGUGUAUGUGUGUGUAUGUGUUUUAUGAUCUGUCCCGCGGUGUCAUCGCAGCGACUGAGCCGUGUACGGCGCCAGCCUCCGCGCGACGUUGCGGCGACGGAAACCCCCGCCGGCCCGUAAGGGCUGCCAUUGUUGCGUCCCAGCGAAACUAUGCGCAGCGUUGAAACGUCGCCGUGCCAGGUUAGAAAAGGACGCCUUCCUCUUUGCUCCCCCCCUUUCCGUCACAUGCGUGUGCCGAUGUGUGCUGUAUGCUCAACUAGUGCACAAUUAGAAAAUUGUCCCGCGGUGCCAUCGCAGAGACUGUGCCGUACGCGGCAUCGGCCCCCACGCGACGUUGCGGCGACGGGAGUUAAUCCCGCCGGCCCGUGAAGGCUGCUUUUGUUGCGUCCCAGCGAAACUAUGCGCGGCGUUGCAACGUCGCCGUGCCAGGUUAGAAAAGGACGCCUUUUGGAAUGCUGCAUGCGCCUAUCUCACCAUGCUUUUUAUGAUGCGCCCAUCGCAUUCAUACAACACAUCGUCAAUGCGGGCCCGCUGCGCUCGGGCCCACACGCGCUGCUUUCACAGCCCUCAGCCACCCCACACCUCCCUGCUGCUCUCGCUCUACCACCGUCAGGGCUCCUAUCUUAAUGUCUCCAGACAUUAAUCGGCCAUGUUGGUCGUUUCCUAGACAUUCCUCCCGGGGGCUAAUGUCUGAGGUGAGACUUUGUUGGCCCGGGUUUGGGGCGGGUUUUGUCCGAAUUCCUAUGGAGAAGCCCCCAAACCGCCUUGUGUCCAGACAAAAGACGGCGGCCAUGCGGCCGUUUUUGUCUGGAGCCAGACAUCACCCCGAAAACAAGAUACGAC